UGUUUGUCCGUGUUAUGACAACCAUUCGUGAUUAAAGAUGGCGGAACAACAAACGGAAACAAUAUCGCUCUCUGAACAUACUGUUGAACAGCUUCCAGCAGAGCUACUGCAGUUUUUCGAAGUUGUGGUUAAAAUGCAUCGACUCUCGGGACCAUAACAAAAAAACGAGCCUGCAAAUGGUUUAUCCACACUGGUUGGAAAUGUCGAUGAAAUCUUAUAGCGGAUUUUCACAUGGCAGCAAAAUACCCUGAAAUCUCUACUGGAAAACUCUAUCACGGGAAAAUCGUUCUUGGAAAGAAGUAAUACGGGAGAAUUCUCCAACCAAAGUCAGGAAAAGCUUGUAGACAUAAUAGCGGAAUAUCAUCUGAGUCUUGGAUUCAAAACCACGGAAAAUCUAUUAGGCUACUACGUCUCAUAAAUUGUUAAUCUAUUCAAACAGGAAAAAAAGGAAUCAUAUUUCAUCCCCCGGUGUAGUGGCAAGCGCAACCAAGGAGGAAAGAUUUAUAACAGAAUUUUUAACCUCAAACAAAAAAUUGCGGCUCAUGGCAAAUCAGAGGAAGUUCAUCAAUCAAAAAAUCUCAAAACAAGUUCAUUGGCGACUCUUGACGUAAUUUGGUGAUGAAGCAUUAACUUAUUGUAGUAAAAAAUUAAUAUUAUUAUCAAUCUAAAGUUAGUCUUGUGGGAGUAAUAGAAUAUCUUCUAGUUGAAGAUGUUGUUUAAGUUGUAGGUGAACAAUGAAUUGUUGGUGAUUUUAAUGAUCAUUUUCUCGCAAAUGAAGCCACUUCUAAGACAAACAUUGUAAACAUAAUUAGAUUUUAUAAUAAAAAUAUCAU